CCUACGGGAGGCAGCAGUGGGGAAUAUUGGGCAAUGGACGCAAGUCUGACCCAGCAACGCCGCGUGAAGGAUGAAGGCUUUCGGAUUGUAAAAUUCUUUUCUCAGGGAAGAAGAAAUUGACGGUACCUUAGGAAUAAGCCUCGUCUAACUACGUGCCAGCAGCCGCGGUAAUACGUAGGAGGCAAGCGUUAUCCGGAUUGACUGGGCGUAAAGGGUGGGUAGGUGGGAUGACAAGUUAGUGGUGAAACUCCCGAGCUCAACUUGUGACCUGCUUUUAAAACUGUUGUGCGUGAGUGCAGGAGGGGAAGGCGGAAUGCCUAGUGGAGCGGUGAAAUGCGUAGAGAUUAGGAGGAACACCAGUGGCGAAGGCGGUUUGCUAGACUGUAACUGACGCUGAGGCGCGAAAGCGUGGGGAGCAAACAGGAUUAGAUACCCUUGUAGUC
rnacentral:rRNA from 1 species